rnacentral:rRNA from 1 species
UACCCCGCUGAACUUAAGCAUAUCAAUAAGCGGAGGAAAAGAAACCAACAGGGAUUGCCUCAGUAACGGCGAGUGAAGCGGCAAGAGCUCAAAUUUGAAAGCUGGCUCCUUCGGGGUCCGCAUUGUAAUUUGCAGAGGAUGCUUCGGGAGCGGCCCCCAUCUAAGUGCCCUGGAACGGGCCGUCAUAGAGGGUGAAAAUCCCGUCUGGGAUGGGGUGUCCGCGCCCGUGUGAAGCUCCUUCGACGAGUCGAGUUGUUUGGGAAUGCAGCUCUAAAUGGGUGGUAAAUUUCAUCUAAAGCUAAAUAUUGGCCGGAGACCGAUAGCGCACAAGUAGAGUGAUCGAAAGAUGAAAAGCACUUUGAAAAGAGAGUUAAACAGCACGUGAAAUUGUUGAAAGGGAAGCGCUUGCGACCAGACUCGCCCACGGGGUUCAGCCGGCAUUCGUGCCGGUGUACUUCCCCGCGGGCGGGCCAGCGUCGGUUUGGGCGGCCGGUCAAAGGCCCUCGGAAUGUAACGCCCCCCGGGGCGUCUUAUAGCCGAGGGUGCCAUGCGGCCAGCCCAGACCGAGGAACGCGCUUCGGCUCGGACGCUGGCAUAAUGGUCGUAAGCGACCCGUCUUGAAACACGGGACCA